rnacentral:rRNA from 1 species
UACGAACUGUGCAAACGUUAUUCGGAAUCACUGGGCUUAAAGGGUGCGUAGGCGGCUUGUUAAGUAGGGUGUGAAAUCCCCCGGCUCAACCGGGGAGUUGCGCCCUAAACUGGCGAGCUGGAGUGAGAUAGGGGUGUGUGGAACUUCCAGUGGAGCGGUGAAAUGUGUUGAUAUUGGAAGGAACGCCAGUGGCGAAAGCGACACACUGGGUCUCAACUGACGCUGAGGCACGAAAGCCAGGGGAGCAAACGGG